UUUGUAGCAAUACGGAGCUUCUCAGUGGCGAACGGGCGAGUAACGAGUUGGUGACCUGCCCCGAAGUGUGGGAUAACAGUCCGAAAGGAUUGCUAAUACCGCAUGUGAUCAUCGGUUUUAGAAUCUGAUGAUUAAAGCAGUAAUGCGCUUCGGGAGGGACCUGCUUCCCAUCAGCUAGUUGGUGAGGUAAUGGCCCACCAAGGCUACGACGGGUAAGGGACCUGAGAGGGUGGUCCCUCGCAAUGGCACUGAAACACGGGCCAUACACCUACGGGUGGCAGCAGUAGGGAAUAUUGGGCAAUGGGCGAAAGCCUGACCCAGCAACGCCGCGUGCACGAUGAAGGCCUUCGGGUCGUAAAGUGCUUUUCUGAGGGAUGAGUAAGGACAGUACCUCAGGAAUAAGCCUCGGCUAACUACGUGCCAGCAGCCGCGGUAAAACGUAGGAGGCGAGCGUUAUCCGGAUUUACUGGGCGUAAAGCGUGUGUAGGCGGUUCGGCAAGUUGGAUGUGAAAGCUCCUGGCUUAACUAGGAGAGGUCGUUCAAUACUACCAAACUUGAGGGCAUCAGAGGAAGGUGGAAUUCCCGGUGUAGUGGUGAAAUGCGUAGAUAUCGGGAGGAACACCAGUGGCGAAAGCGGCCUUCUGGGAUGCUCCUGACGCUCAGACACGAAAGCUAGGGUAGCGAACGGGAUUAGAGACCCCGGUAGUCCUAGCAGUAAACGAUGUAGACUUGGUGUCGGAGGUGUCAAAACCUUCGGUAUCGUAGCUAACGCGAUAAGUCUACCGC
rnacentral:rRNA from 1 species